GCGAGCCAGGUCGGUCCCUAUCUGCCGUGGGCGCAGGAAUCUUGAGAAGAUGUUUCCCUAGUACGAGAGGAUUGGGAAGCACUGACCGCUGGUGUACCGGUUGUCCCGCUAGGGGCACCGCCGGGUAGCUAAGUCGGGAAAGGAUAACCGCUGAAAGCAUCUAAGUGGGAAGCCCACUCCAAGAUUAGGAUUCCAUGUCACUUCGGUGACGAGAGGGCCCAGAUAGACUAUCUGGUUGAUAGGCUGGAUGUGUAAGCAGCGAAAUCUGCUCAGCUAACCAGUACUAAUGCCCAACUACUUGACCAUAU
rnacentral:rRNA from 1 species